UACGGGGGGGGCAAGCGUUGUUCGGAAUUACUGGGCGUAAAGGGCGCGUAGGCGGCCUAUUAAGUCGGACGUGAAAUCCCUCGGCUCAACCGGGGAACUGCGUCCGAUACUGGCAGGCUUGAAUCCGGGAGAGGGAUGUGGAAUUCCAGGUGUAGCGGUGAAAUGCGUAGAUAUCUGGAGGAACACCGGUGGCGAAGGCGGUCUGCUGGGGUAAUGCUGACACUGAUGCGCGACAGCGUGGGGAGCAAACAGG
rnacentral:rRNA from 1 species